rnacentral:rRNA from 1 species
CACGUAGGAGCCUAGCGUUAUCCGAAUUUACUGGGCGUAAAGCGCGUGUAGGCGGUUCGAUAAGUUGGAUGUGAAAGCUCCUGGCUCAACUGGGAGAGGUCGUUCAAUACUGUUGGACUUGAGGAUGGUAGAGGAAGGUGGAAUUCCCGGUGUAGUGGUGAAAUGCGUAGAUAUCGGGAGGAACACCAGUGGCGAAAGCGGCCUUCUGGACCAUUCCUGACGCUCAGACGCGAAAGCUAGGGGAGCGAACGGG